UUUCCUCCUCCCCUCUUUUCCCUCCCCUUUCCCCCUCUUUGGAGAGUAUGCCUGUUUGAGGGUCAGUAAUAAUAAAAUCGGGGUGUUGCUCUUUUGUGACACAACGGAGUUUGGGCUACCUUUGACUUUCGGGUUUAAGAGGCUUAAAAUUGAACUUUUUUGCGCACUUUUAGACGUACAUAAAUUUAUUUUUAUCGUCUAUUCUGGUGCCAAUUAUCUAUUAGGUGCGAUCAUGUUUAUAUGAUCCCGUGCCCAUAAUUCUCAUCUUUUGACCUCAAAUCAGGUAAGGACACCCGCUGAA
rnacentral:misc_RNA from 1 species